CGACCACGUCACUGCAACCCCUCCUCCUCCUCCUCCUCCUCUUUUUUUCUUUUUCCUUCCAAAUGCUGCGACACACACGCCUCCAUCUCCACCUAUGGCGACACAAAUCGCAUCCCUGCUUCUACUUAAUGCGAGCUCUCCAGCAGCGGCAUCUCCCUCAACCACGACCUCGCUGUGGCUAUUGACAACUGAUGCGUGGCCUGGGCCACUAAAGGUGACAGUGUUGAUCUUGAUUUCUCCUUGCCCAGUUGGCUGGUAAGGAGUACAAUUUUACUGUUGCUUCUGGUUGCCCUUAUUUUCGUACUGACUAAGUUUGAUGUUUUUUCCUUUCAUGCUUUCUCUGUGUUCCAAUUUUGGCUUAUUGCUUAUGGUUGCUGUUGACUUGCUCUACAUCAUUUGUUUUAUCAGUUGGAGUGUUAAAUUUGGCAUUUCUAUUGUCAUGUUUCAAUUCAAGGAAAUUUAAAAAUGUUGUUUGGUGGUUUCUGCAACACACAGAAGAAUAAUAUGGAAUCUUAGAAAAAAUUGAUGGUUUGGUUUUGAUGGAGUGACUUUUCUUGACUUGAUGUGAUUUGCAUGAAGCAUUUUUACUCAUAGGAUUCUCUUCUUAAAAAUAUGGAUGACUUAGAUUAAAAAAUAAUGAGGCCCAUAAUAAUUAGUGCCAAAGAGAGAAUCUGAGUCCUAAAUUUCAAUUGUAGGCUACUGUAUGGAUAGUUGCUUUUUUUAUUUUUGUAUGAGUUGUUUCUGAUAUGGGCUUUGAUGAUUAGGUUUGACAUUCACAGUGAUGUCUUUGCCUCUGAUUAGGAUGCUUCCCUCCCCUCGGUUCAUCACCAUCAGGACCUUUGUAAACGCCAAGGUAAAAUGGGUUGGAGACCCAUACUUGGACUGUGCAGUUUAAAGACAGAAAUACCUUAAACGAUCCAUUUCCUUCAAGAACCAAAUGAUUUCCAACCCUUACAAGUCCCUUCCUCUCUCUGCAGCCACUUAACUUAAGCCCCACCUCAACCUCCCUACCACAUCCUCCAAAUUCUUUGAAAAAUACUCCUCAUUCUUCUCCAUAUUUCAGCCCUCCCCUGGUCUCCCACCUCAUCUUAAUCUCACCCCACAAACCCUCUCACUCCACAAAGUGGAGUCAACCAUUCAUACCUCAAUGUCUAACAAAUACAGUGCCAUUGAACGACUUGCUAAGCUUUUGAUGCUAGCCAGAGUGACUAAAUUGCCUAUGCACCUGAUUAACAGGUUGAAAUGGGAUCUGGGUCCUCCUCAUGAUAUUUUGGGUACCCUUGUUGAUGAUUUUUCUGAUUAUUCUGGGGCUUUUGAAGUUGAGGAUGUGGUAACUGGUAAAGUAGAGAUUGGUUUUGGUGUCUUGUUUGUUGGAGAAAGGAGCUUGCUUUCUCUCAAUUGGAAAGAAGGGCAUUAAUGGGUUAUGAUCAGUGCAAAAAUAUUGAAAGCACACUUGGAUUUUAAUAAUUUUGCCCAAAGGGUUUGAUUUGGAGAAGAGGGUGAAGGAUUAGGUUAAGGAAUGGCAGGGAUUGCCAUACAGUUCGCCAUAUGAAAAUGCAACCCAUCUUUCACCAAAUAGCGACCAGGCUGAGAACUAGAUGGUGGCGAGGUUCUUUGUCUUUUGGUUUCAAUGAAGACAGAGAGGGAAAAUUUGUUUGUUUUGGGAGAGCAUUUGGGGUUCGAAAGUCGAGGCAUAUAGGAAGGAUUUCUUGAUUGAGAAGCACCCAUUAAGAGUGAUAUGGAAGAACUAGUAGAGCAGACAAUGAGAAUGGCUCUUCAGAUGCUGCGUGUUAAGAUUAUAAUAUGUGACGAUAUGGAAAUAUGAGGGGAUUGAUGUGAUCUGUAUAAUUCUUAGGAGGCUUGGCAAAUGAGAAUUUUGAUUGAGAAGCUGAGUUAGUCUAUUUGGAGCUAAAUCCCUGCCUAAAAUGAAUUUAUGUGUUAUCUGGUUUGGAAUUCGAUGAUUGUAUUAAUUAGUGGUUUCUGCUAUUUGACAUGAUUUUGUUAAAUGCUUUGUCACCUUGAUAAUUUGAACCGUGCUUGAACAAAUGAAAUUGUGUUUAAAUGUCUGUGUAUGCUAAGGUUUGGAUUUUAUUAUAAGGAAUAAAAUUUCAGUUACCUCUUUUCGUA